UCUUUAAAGCACGGACUUACACCUAUUGUCGAGGAAAUUGCCGCUCUGGCUGCUUCUCCUUCGCCGCCACGCUCAGACAGAGGUCGCUUCUGACUAGCUUGCUGGGCUUCCGGACCGACACGGAUCCCCCAUCCCCGCCCGCGGUCGCCUUGUCAUGCUGCCCAAAGUGGAGACGGAAGCCCUGGGACUGGCUCGAUCGCAUGGGGAACA
rnacentral:lncRNA from 1 species